AACAACAAACGACUACCAGACCAAACCACGUAGCAGAGCAGGCGUUAAUCUUGAAGAUAAUUUGCUCGGGACAGCUCUCUGAUGGGCAUUAUUGGUGCAAGAGGAAGGCCAAUAAGGUUAGAUUACUUUUGUGCCAUUCAGUGGCACUCGCUUAAGGUUAUGCGCUCUGGGUGGUGCACCCGUCAAAGCUUCCUUUUAAGGUCGCAUAGCCACGAAUCUUUUUUUUUAUUUAUUUGAUCGAGAUCCAGGACCACAUAUGAAACCCCUCCCGGGCAGCUCCACCAUGCUGGUGGACAGUUAGAGACUUCCGUUUGUCGUGUGUUGAUAGCCAUCACCAAGUUGUUCACCAACAGUCAGAUUGACCACAGACCCCUGCUCUGUCAGACUGAGUCGCUCUUGGUUGGAUGUUUUUGGGUGGCGGACCACUUUUAACCGAGCAGUGAUACUGACGUGUGAAAACUCCGCUGUGGCUGAUGCCAGUGUCACACACUACCAUAACACUACCGUAUCGGUAUCACUGCUGUGUUGAGAACCAAAUAAUAUCUGAUCAGCAGUGGUCCUGUGGUCAGAAACUGAGCAAUGAUGAAUGGGGUGGAGGAUGACUGUGCCUCAGAAGCUGGACUACAGUCUGUAAUUGUACACCUGUAUAGCAGACUUAUAAUUUACAUGAACCAAAUAAUGGACGUGCAAGUAGUUUUCUCAGGAGCUGUGUUGACUGACGGUAUGCUGGCUCUCCACAUCUUUGGCCCAGAAGUUUUGACUGCGAACGUGUAUUUGUGAGCUCCUGCAGGUGUUCGUUCAUGGCUGUUUCUUCUCUUUAAAUGAUGCACACAAAAGUGACUUGUGUGCUUAGUAAAAGGAAAUUCUGACUUGUGAGCUAAGCCUUGCGAGAUUAAGUCUGGACUGGCAACAGACAUCUAGUGGAACACCCACUAGGGGCUGCACGAGGAGAGUACCAGCACGGAGAGAGAUCAAUACAGCGAGCGAAAGGGAG